rnacentral:rRNA from 1 species
AUUGAACGCUGGCGGCAGGCCUAACACAUGCAAGUCGAGCGGAUGAAGGGAGCUUGCUCCCUGAUUUAGCGGCGGACGGGUGAGUAAUGCCUAGGAAUCUGCCUGGUAGUGGGGGAUAACGUUCCGAAAGGAACGCUAAUACCGCAUACGUCCUACGGGAGAAAGCAGGGGACCUUCGGGCCUUGCGCUAUCAGAUGAGCCUAGGUCGGAUUAGCUAGUUGGUGAGGUAAUGGCUCACCAAGGCGACGAUCCGUAACUGGUCUGAGAGGAUGAUCAGGCACACGGGAACUGGGACAAGGUCCAGAAUCCUACGGGAGGCAGCAGUGGGGAAUAUUGGACAAUGGGCGAAAGCCUGAUCCAGCCAUGCCGCGUGUGUGAAGAAGGUCUUCGGAUUGUAAAGCACUUUAAGUUGGGAGGAAGGGCAGUAAGCUAAUACCUUGCUGUUUUGACGUUACCGACAGAAUAAGCACCGGCUAACUUCGUGCCAGCAGCCGCCGUAAGAC